AAGGAUCAUUACUGAAAGAUUAUAGGGUUUGAGCUCUUGUGUGCUCGACUCUUACUCUUAUCCAUUUACACACCUUUGUGCACCAUGGGACGAAUAAAGUCCCCUUUUUACAAUAAAGACCUAGUUAUAUGCAUGUUGUUAUACGCUCUACGGAGUAAUGUACAACUUUCAACAACGGAUCUCUUGGCUUUC
rnacentral:misc_RNA from 1 species